rnacentral:rRNA from 2 species
CAAGAACGCUGGCGGCGUGCCUAAUACAUGCAAGUCGAGCGGACAGAAGGGAGCUUGCUCCCGGAUGUUAGCGGCGGACGGGUGAGUAACACGUGGGUAACCUGCCUGUAAGACUGGGAUAACUCCGGGAAACCGGAGCUAAUACCGGAUAGUUCCUUGAACCGCAUGGUUCAAGGAUGAAAGACGGUUUCGGCUGUCACUUACAGAUGGACCCGCGGCGCAUUAGCUAGUUGGUGGGGUAAUGGCUCACCAAGGCGACGAUGCGUAGCCGACCUGAGAGGGUGAUCGCCACACUGGGACUGAGACACGCCCAGACUCCUACGGGAGGCAGGCAGUAGGGAAUCUUCCGCAAUGGACGAAAGUCUGACGGAGCAACGCCGCGUGAGUGAUGAAGGUUUUCGGAUCGUAAAGCUCUUUUGUUAGGGAAAGAACAAGUGCCNAGAGAACUGCUCGCACCUUGACGGUACCUAACCAGAAGCCACGGUUAACUACGUGCCAACAGCCGGGGUAAUACUUAGGUGGCAAGCGUUGUCCGGAAUUAUUGGGCCUAAAGGGGUUCCAAGGCGGUUUUUUAAAUUUUGUAUUGGGAAACCCCCCCGGCUCAACCCGGGGGGGGGGAUUUGGGAAACUGGGAAAACUUUGAAGCCCAAAAAAGGAAAAGGGGAAGUUGCCCCGUUCAUGGGGAUAAAAUCGCCUAAAAAAUUUGGGGAGGAAAACCCCCACUGGGGGAAAGGGGCAGGUUUUUGGGUUUUGAAAACUAAACCCUUAGGAAACCCUGAACCUCGCGGGGGGGCCCAAAAAAAAAAGUAAAAAAGCCCUUGGGGAGUCCAGCCCCCCUAAAAAAAAAAGGGGGUGUUAAGUUUUAAAGCGGGGUUUACCCCCCCCUUUUUUGGGGGGGGGGGGAAAAACCAUUG